rnacentral:rRNA from 1 species
UACGGAGGGUGCAAGCGUUAUCCGGAUUCACUGGGUUUAAAGGGUGCGUAGGCGGGCAGGUAAGUCCGUGGUGAAAUCUCUGAGCUUAACUCAGAAACUGCCAUGGAUACUAUUUGUCUUGAAUACCGUGGAGGUUAGCGGAAUAUGUCAUGUAGCGGUGAAAUGCUUAGAUAUGACAUAGAACACCAAUUGCGAAGGCAGCUGGCUACACGAAUAUUGACACUGAUGCACGAAAGCGUGGGGAUCAAACAGG